rnacentral:misc_RNA from 1 species
UUGUAGGUAGUAAAGAGAGGAAAGGGUCGUUCUGCAGCGCGAUGCUGAGUAAACGAAUGUGACAAAGGAAAGCGAGGAACAAGAAAGAUGCGGGACAUCGACCAGGGCUGGGCGUGGGUGGUUAUGAUGGCGGCCUUCUGUACGCAGUUUAUCACUGGAGUGCUAAGUUACAGUGUCGGGGUCUUUCACAACGCCUUACUGAACGAAUUCAAAGAGGAUCUGACCUUCACCUCUUUGGUGGGAUCUGUGUACACCAGUCUGCUGUGUCUCACGGCUUAAUUUGGUAAGCAUUUAAGAUUUAUACUUGGGUUUUUAAUCGCACGCUUUUCAAAACUUAUUCUCCUCUUUUCCAACCCUGUACUUUAAACCAAGUAUUAUGCAUGCACGUGCCAUAUUAUCAUUUGAAACUGCAAAAAAGCCAGUCCGCGAAGAUUAAUUAACUUAAUUCAUUAAUUUAGCAGACAAGUGAUUUUAUUCGUGUUCAGUCCUUUUUUACAUUACACAGAGCAAAAAGAAAUGCAAUUGUUUGCGAUGAAAAAAAAGCGACUAGUGUUGAUAUAUAUUGCAAGUGCAAAAUACCGGGUUUACAGUAAUUCAUGAUUAGUCCACUCUAAUAAAAAGAUAUAAUAUAAAGGUAGUGAACUGUAAUGUCUUCAAAAUAUUUCAAAAUCGGUAAAUAUAACGCUGUUAUUGAAUGAUCACACAUUUUAGUUUUAGUCGACCAAGUGGUUCAAAUUUCAAUACUUCAAGCUGAUUAAACUGAUGUUAGAAAACAACAUUGCAAAGCGGCAAUAACGAUUAGAAAAGAAGUCGGUAAGAUUUGCUCUCUAAUGUCUGACGCUAUUAUUUUUCAGGACCUUUUGUGAGCUUUGUUAUCAACAAGUGGAGCUGUAGGGUAGCAGCAAUAACAUCUGGUUGUUGCCUUUUCACGGGGUUCUCUCUCAGCUUCUUCGCUCCUAAUUUGAUUGUUUUACUGGUCACGUACGGCGUCAUUGCAGGAAUUGGUCUAGGAUUCAGCGCUAUAUCUGCCGUUAUUGUAGUUGGCUACUCUUUCGAGAAGUAUCGUGGAAUUGCCGUGGGUGUCAAUGUAGCCGGAGCAGGUUUAGGAAUGUUUGCAGGCGGCCCUUUCAUUCAGUAUCUAAUUGAUCAAUACAGUCUUCGAGGAGCCAUGCUAGUCUUGGGAGCAUUUGGGGGUCAAGCCAUAGUGUUUGGUGCCUUAAUGAGACCAACAGAAAUCGAAAUGUCAUACAAAACAACGAACGAGAAAUCCGAUUCCAAAAAGAAGAGUCAUUUUCAGUGCAGUGUAUUUAGGAACAAAGCUUUUCUAUGCAUUCUCGUGGCGUCUUUUUUCUGGAACGUACCAUACAAUAUCCUUUUUAUACACCUGCCCCGCUUCUCUGUUGAGUAUGGUGCAACAGACAUGCAGGCGGCCUUUUUGAUUACAAUGAUUGGACUAGGCAGCACGCUCAAUAGAUUUCUUGCCGGGUUAGUGCUAGGGCCUGGGGGCAUCGACCCUCUGCUACUGAACUUUGGAUUCCUUGGGAUAUUUGGUCUCACAACAGUCACAUUCCCCCUUUACAGUGCCAAAUAUAUCGGACAGAGUAUAUACUCAUUUGUUACCGGGAUAUACAGUGGAGGACUAAUUGUGCUGAUCAAUCCCCUCUGUUGUGAAAUCGUUGGUAUAUCCCAAUUAUCGUCUGCUGUAGGAUUUUAUUUCACAUUGGCGGGAAUAGCUUGCAUACUCGGAGGACCAUUGGCAGGUGCCCUUAUUGAUUUGGGGGUGUCUUAUGAGGGAGUCUUCUUCCUAUCAGGGAUCCUUUGUAUUAUUGGCGCAUUUGUUAGUCUGUGCGCGUCCUUCUGGCAUGGGAAAUCCGAUACGAAAGAGAAAGCCACCUCAUUCGUUGACUUCAAAGAGAGUAGAUUUCUCUCUGGUUCAGCGUACCUCUCGGGGUCAUUUACUGUAAUCGUCGAAGACGACAAGAGGACACAUCUCAGGAAAAGUAGAGAUAGCAUCAUGAGCAAGACUCCAAAUGGAUACAGCGAGAGUGUAGAGAGUCUGUUCAUGGAUAGAAACGGACUACCGGAUAACCAUUACUUAUCUCCCAUCAGGGCACUUGACAACCCUACUCCAGGAACCAUCAAGAAAUGGCUGACACGCCCGGAGCGAAGUUCAGACCAGUCUUUGUCGUGUUCCGGUCUCCAGGUUCAGGAAAUCAGACUCCUUUCUGAUGAAGAGUCGGUUAAUUGAUUGACCGGUCGAGGUCACUAUUGCAAUGGGAGCAGUGCUUGUCUCUACGUUAAGGUAUUCUUUUUGUUAUAUUUUUGUUAAUAUACUGUCAUUGAAAUAAAAAUUUUAACCUUU